UGUCAAGAUAUGAUGAUGAACCUAACACUAGUCAUUCUCUGUGGACAUUUCUGUUGCCCACGUAAGGGAUGAUGUUCACCUUCACCAUUUCAAAUCAUCUGAUCUUCACGUACCUAGGUGAGCAGGGAAGAGAUGAUAGCAUAUCUGUUUGGCAUGGACCUUGAAGUGUUGCAACAAUCCAGAAAGAUCUGACGGGUCCUGCAGUAAUGGCAAUGAACACUGCAAAUAGUAUUUCUAGUCGCAAAGGAAGGUCUCUAGACAUGGUUUUCACAGAGUGUUGUUUAAAUUACCAUCGAGAGGUCAUGGUAAAUUUCAAAGUGAUCAUUGCUGGGACUUUGCUUAUGUUCAGGUUUCCAGUUAAGAAAUGAUACUGUCCCAACC